rnacentral:misc_RNA from 1 species
UGUCCGUAAGACGUAACGGUAAGAUUGCAACACAUUGGAUUGAGCGACCGUAACCGUAACCAACUGAAUUGAGUACGUGAUUGGUCGAAACCUUACUGUUACGUUUUACGGAAAGUGUUUAUGUAUCCCUCUGCGUCAGUAUUGAAUUCCAUGGAACUGUAAUGAUGGACGUCGACCGAGAUGAACGGGUGCUGCCACGACGUCACCAUACAUAACGGCGGAAUCAUGGAUCCUCGCCAAGUUUAGGCAGAUUUAGAUAAGAUUGAUCGAGUAUUAUAAAAAUCGUACCAUCUCCACGUUUCGGCCACGUAUCAUCGGCGCGAGGACGAGAACAAGAGAUGUCCGGCUUUGACGAGAAUCCCUUCGGGGAGCCUACGAUUAACGAUCCCUUCUCGGAUCCAGCCAUACGAAGAGCAGUAACCUCUACACCUGCUAGUAGAGGAUUGGAAGAUUAUAAUCCUUUUGCCGAGCAAAGUACUCAAGGAACUACACAGGUUAGAGGAGCAGUAAAUCCACCCAUCUAUGGUGGCGUUGGGGCGACACAACAACCUGCUACACUUCAAUCUACUAAUCAAGAAGCACCUCCUCCCACAUAUGCCCGUACUCCUCAGCAAACGGUUAAUGCGGCGCUUGGAAGCACUAUAUCACCUCCAUCCGAUCAACGAGCGGAAUCGGAAUGGAAGGCCAGAGCAGAAGAAGAAAUGAGAAACACCCCAUACUACCCAAGACGAAAUAAUUGGCCGCCAUUGCCAGACAAGUGCUGUUUUCAACCAUGCUUCUAUCAAGACAUUGAUGUGGAAAUCCAUACUGAUUUUCAAAAAACAGUGAGGCAAUUAUAUUAUCUCUGGAUGUUUCACGGCUGUAUUCUGCUGUUGAAUGUAGUUGGAGGAUUUGUCUUGAUGCUUUAUGGCCAGGGUUUCUCGACAUUCGGCCUGGCUAUCUUGUAUCUAAUACUCUUCACUCCAUUUUCCUUUAUGUGCUGGUUUAGACCAGCAUACAGGGCUUUCAAAAAUGACAGCUCUUUCAAUUUUAUGGUCUUUUUCUUUGUCUUCUUCUUUCAAUUAAUCGUUACUGGUAUUCAGGCUAUAGGUAUUCCUGGUGCUGGAACUUGUGGCAUAAUUACAGCAAUUAGUAUGUUUGAUAAAUCGGCAAAAGGUAUUUUCGUCGGUCUUAUCAUGCUCUUCAUCGCUAUUUCUUUUCUUCUUGCGGCUGGUGGUGAUCUUUUAUUGCUUACCAAGAUUCAUCGCAUUUAUCGUACUUCCGAUGCAAGUGUUACAAAGGCGCAGCAAGAAUUCGCUACAACAUUUUUGCGAAAUGAGCAUGUGCAAAAUGCCGCGAGCAAUGUCGCGGCAAGUGCGGUUCGUCAGCAGAUGGCUAAUGCUACCCAGCCACGUUACUAAAUAAUUCUACCACUUAUUUGUCCUACAAAACAUUGUUCUGGCUUUACAUCAUUCAAUAAAACGUCUUUUCAAUUUCAUAACUGUGGGCUGAGACAUGCGUACCACAAUUCCAGAUGUUGAAAUUAGCUCACCAAUUUGACCAACAUCAAUUUUUAUUGGUACAGUAAUAAUUCGAAUGUGAAUCUGCACAUUGAUAUGUUAUAAUAAAAUAAAAUCCAAACAAGGAUACAUUAAUAUUAAUUAACAACAGUGUAGAAGUUAUAUCUAUAUGUGUAUUUAAAUAUCUAUAGUAAUGUAAUACAUUUACUGUUUAAUAUAUUAUUUAUAU